ACCCGAAGCCCGAGGCCCGGGCGGGGGUGGGGCCGGGUCCCCUGCUCACCGGUGCGGGGCCUGCUGCCGUCGCCGGCCUUGUUGAGGGCGCUGCUGGAGCAGCCCAUCGCGGGCAGGAGGGCGCCCGGCGGGCGAGCGCGCCCCCUGUCCCAGCUCCGCGCGGGCUUGGGUCCUUGAGUCCGGAUCCCGCGCGAACCGCUGCCUCAGCACCAGUUCCUCCGACUCCGCGCGGCCGGCUCCCGCGGCUGCAGAGCGCAAGCCUGGAAAGGAAAGCGAGCCGCUCGCUGGGGGAAGGAGCCAGGGUGGGGACAGCAAGGACGCAGAAGAGGACAGAGACAAGGAAGGAGCCAGCACAAGCCGGAUGAAGCCUUGGCCAUCCAGCAGUCGGUUCACAAAUCCCUUGAGGAAGCAUUUUAUAAUCAGGUGAACAGUAAUAAUCAGGUGCCCCAUGGAUGUUAGGACAUCUUUCUCACGAGCCACCCCAAUGCUUGCUCAAUGGGCUCAAGUAUAAAAUGACAAGGA